CAAUAGCGAUUCAAAAUAUAGAAUUGCGCAAUGUAAUUUACCACUAUUUACAGCAAAUUAGGCUUUACUAAGUUCUAAUAAUCAACUAAAACAAAUAAAUUAAGAAACAUUUGUAGAAAUAUACAAACAUACGAAAAUAACAUGUCCGCAAUGAACGCGCAGUGUUGUUAAAAAUUUUCAUUUUUCGAAACGAGAUAAUCUGCUUAAAAGACCUAUUAAAUGUCUCAAGAAAAUUAUUUUAUCGCAAAUGUUAUUAUUCAAGAGAAUAUGUUUCCUGUUUCUGCAUCACAGUGAUGGUCACGAAGAAGUGAGGAAAGGGAGCUAGGGAUGUUGUGAUCGCAACUUGCUGGAUGUCUACCCAAUCAGCAAAUGUUAUGCCUUUACUUGAGAUUUGAAGACGCAAACACUGAAUUGGUAGUCACAAUUGUCAACUAUACGUUUACUACCGCGGGGAAUUGAUGUGAGGCUGCCGUCCAACGCCUAGAGAGAUGGCUGAGCCCCUCAUAAGCCGUAUUUUGUGUUUGUGUCUUGUGCUAUGGAAAUCAUUCUCAACUUGUUCGAGGGUCGGCCGAAUUUUAAGAAGAACAAGACUAGAGAGUAGGCCUGGUUAAAUGGAGUUGGAAUAAAUUCGGCAAACGGAAUAAUCAACUGAAUAUGCUUGUAGUUUGUUGAAUCUUUUUAACUGCUACAAUUGGAAACAAGUAGUAAUGACCAUACCGGUGUUACAUGUAAAAGGACUUGAGAUAAGUUUUGAUUUACGAAAUUGAUGUUUUUGAUAAAAGCUGUUGCUUAAUUUUUUGAGGCCGUAUGCAAGCAUGUUUUGGUAUUUAGUUUCUUUUGUUGUCUUGUGUCUUUUAUUUAUUUAUUAAUUUCAAUUAAAUUUGUUACAUUCGUUUGGAAAUUGAAACAUACUGCACACCAAGAUGGAUGUGAGCAUAUGCUGUGUAAAGACAAUUACUGCGGUUGAUUUCCUUUCAUAUAUUGUCACUAGCUUAACGAUAAAUGGUGACGAAAGCUCACUUAUAUACAUAUGAUGGGAAGCAAUCAGUCAUAGUGUCAGUUGCAAGUAUGUUCAUUAUUAUUACUAAGCAGAAGUGUAUGCGCUUGAAAGAAGACACCAGGGACAGAGCAAUUUCCAAACAUAAACACACAAACAUUAAGGAAAAAGCGUCCAUCUUUAAAAAUUUAAUUUCGAAUGAUGUCAAGGCGUAAAAUACUCUAUAUUUACAAAUUUUAUAAAAACAUUCCAACCACAAUAUAUUAGAUUUAAUGUUGUUCAUUGUGAAAUUCGCAAAUACGCCUCAAAGGCCCUAUAGAUAUUUAUAUAUUGGUAGGUACAUAAUCUCUAUUGGCUCGGGAUAAGGACAGUCUAUCCAUCUACUCGCCUACUUUGUGUUGUCGAAUAAUACAAACUUGCAAAAGUACAAAUUGUUCAAGCAUGCCAUACAUACUUUGAAGUUGAAAGUUUCGAUGGAUAGAAAGUUGUGUUGUCUAAAAGAACUUAAGCUUAUAAUCUUUAAAUGAUUUUAAUCUACACAUAUCUUAUAUACCAAUGCCGAGAGAAAUAACUUUUUAAGGCCUAUGUAAAAAAUUUGUACGCCCAUGAUUACCAAAACAAUUCACGUAUUAGUUUAGAGUAAAAAGUUCGCCGUAACGCAUUUAUAGCUUUUUACAGCACAAUAAUAUCCCUCAUAGCUAUUAUAACACAUCACUGUGCCCACUCUUUGCUAACAUACUAUCUUCAGGUGAUAUUUACUUUUAUUUAUUUAUUUAAAAUUGGUUACAAGACCCGAACUCUGAACAAUAAAUAGAAGAAACUCCUAAACUGCUAAAAGGAACUUGUAAAACUACUACUAACAAAAAGAUGCAAAAUAAUGCUAAUAAUACCAAUGCAAAAACAUUAUAUAACUCUAAUCUUCUAGUGCGCAUUUAAUGAUUUAAAUAAUUACAUUAGCCAGCAUGACAUAAACAGUUCAUUAAAUACCACAGUUUCCAAUUUGUAACUAUAUGCAUUAUAAUAACAGUCUAUUUUUAAUUUUGCUAAUAGAAUCGAUUCACUGAUCAAAGAAAUAAUAAUUCCAGUUAUAAAACCAACAUAGCAAGCUACACAAACUAAACAGUAGAAAUUAGUGCGUCAAUGACAAAGUCACAAGGGCAUAUAGCGUUGGGAAGAUCGGUUCGGAACAUUGAAUUCGACAAAGUUUACUAGGUAAGCUGAGGGAAGCCAGCCCCGAAUCAAUUUAACCAUAAAAACCAUCCCGAACAUGUCUCAUCCUCUAACCCAGUGACGGUAGUCGCUUCAUGUUAAAUCUGUUUUCAUAUGGUGGAAGAAUUCUAGCGGGGUCUCACGGCAGAUCGCGUAAAGCAAAGAGAAGAAAAUUUCCCUGAACAAACUAUAUUCGAUCGACGUGACAUUAGUAAUAAAGUGUCCAAACAACGGCAGAAUAUUUCAAAAUCGGGCGAACAAGCGCAGUGUACAGACGUUUGCAAACAUAUGGAUCAUCAAGUUAUUUAGCUCGUCUCUCAAUAAAACCCAAAAUCGACUUAGCCUUAUUAACGGAAAACUAAAUCUAAGGCCAAUGAAAUCAAAUAAAACACCCAAAGCUUUAAAGCAAAAUACAUUCUCCAGCACAUGACUAUUAAUAGAAUAAUAAGUAGGCAGUGGAAACACCCAAGAGAAUGAGAUUUUCCUGCAUUUACUAAAAUUACACGACACACUGUUGGUAGGAAUACCAAACGUUCAAAGAUGAUAAAUCAUAUUGUAGCCCAUCAGCGUCGUGCACUAAGUUAAUUAAAGUAAAAAUUUCCACGUCAUCUGCAAACAUAAGAGUUUUAGAAAAGCGGACUCUUGAACGAAGAUCGAUAACGUAUAAAAUAAAUAACAUAGGCUUCCGAAUAGGAGCCAACGAGUUAGUAAUAUUGAUUUGCCUUUAAGGAAGCCAUAUUGACAUGGUGAUAACACUGAAUUUAUUGUCGGCUGUAAUCUCGCAGGUAAUAACUCAGGUAGGACACUGAGUUUCAUAAUGCUUUCAUAAUUAUUGGUGCUGUCUCUAGAGCCAUUCUUAUAGAAGAGAAUAACAAAACUAGUUUUCCACGCUAAGGGAAAGUAAGCAAUCUGAAGGCAGUAGUUAAAAAUAUACAUAAAGCGAGUACAACUACGCUGAGCUAUGUUAUACAUGAUUUCGCAUUCCAUACAUCAAUUUAUAUCAGAGCAGAAGUCCUUAUACGGAUGAUGGCAAAUGGCAAAUGGAAACGUAAUUGAGUGCUAUGGAGAGGAGGCUAAUCUUCCAGAUUUACAAUAUAGCUUAUGUUUUGAAUUUAACGCGAUGAACUUAUUGAAUUACGAGCUUCUCGAACACAAGAAACCAUUGUUGAAGAACGCAAGGGAUUGAGAUUUUGCAACACCUAUCAGGAAAAGUUAUUAAACUUGUUAGUUGAUUUAUCAACUCAAGUGACAUAAACUGAAGUCUGGACAUUCGCUAUAUUACACAAGACCGGUGCUGUGCAAGCGAUGAACGAAUGUUUGUAACUAACAAAAGGAGCCGAAAUAAACAUGGACUACUAAAUCUGAAGAUCUGUAAUAAUCAAAAAUUUCCAUAAGUAGGCGUUGAAGUCAGUACUUAGAAUAAGCUGGAGGUAACAACAAUUAGGAAUGGUAUGUACCUUUCAGACGAGGUACGUUCAUAAGCGGGCUCAAUAGGGCCAUCAUCACAUGAAAUGAAUAUUAUUCGAUUAAAGAAUAAAUCUUUAAUUUCAACUUACAAUAAUAUGAGCAGAGGCAAAAUGUUGAUAUAGAUGGAGAAGAAAGAAUGAAAAGUAAGGAAAGAUACCAGUUGCCUAAUCGCUCGCACAAAGAAUGCCAUAUAUUCGCAGCAGUGAUUCGCGAUUUAUGUCGCUGCUGCGAUCCGUUUUACGUUACGCGACGCUAGAAACUAAUGUGAUUAAUAAGCACAAAUGGGGAACUAAAGCCACUAUUAUGUUUACAAAAGAAAGAAAACAGAUGUUUUACAGCUUAAACGUCUUUUAAUACAGGAUAUUUUAAGUUUGUGCGAAUGCAUACAAAAUCCACGAGGACGUGAAACAAACACAGUCUUUCCGAAUGUCUGUCUAAUGUCGGUCCAUGAACUUUGAAUUCAGCCUACAAGUGCCAAGUUUUCAGACAUUUUAAUGAAUUUUUGGGUAUAGGACGUACACUAUUGAAAAUGAUUCGUACGGGGCUACCCCUGCAACCAGAAGAAGAAAUAUUUUCAAAUUUUCGCGAUAAAUAAUCGCUGAGUAAUACACAUUCGGUAUCCUAAAUUCAUGUGAAACAUUUGUGCUGAAGGGGAAAGUCUCCUUCUUACGGGAAAUGAAUCUGUAUAUGAUAAAAAGGGCUAUUUUUCAACGAUUUUCACCGAGAACUCAUCCAUAAUAAUAGCCUUAAAACAGGCCAAGUAAAUUAAGUUUUGUAAAUUCAAACACCAUCAGUUGCGGUUUUGUGCAUGCUCUAAUUUGCUGGCUGUCACGAAAAGUAAGCCAUUGCAUCAUCGAAAGAUGAGCGGUAUAUUCAUUUCGUCAAUACAAUGACCACAAGGAAGCUUCAGAGACCCCACAAAGUAUAUAUAUUCU